AUUGGCGGCACGGUAAGUCCGAGCGGGCUGGGCUCCGUGGACUCCGGAGCAACGGCCCUGGGAAGCUGGUAGCGGCAGGUUGGGUGGCACGCGAUGCUGUGACGACGGCAGCGGCCCUGCAUGCGCGUGGUAGAAUUGGCGCCCGUCGUCUUUUCAAGAAAGAAAAAAAGGAUUGGCGCCCGUCGGUGGUGCGGCCGCGAUCGUCAGUGUCAGCAAACUUUUCGGCGCCGUUGGUGCGCUUCUGCUCGGACUAGCAUCCAUUAGAUUCAGAAAUCUCAUGAGCUUCUCGUCUAGAAGUGUUAGACUUUUCAGACGAUGAUUCAGGAGUUUUAGGUC